AGCGUGCGCAGGCGGUUUUGUAAGGGUUUGUCGUGAAAGCCCCGGGCUCAACCUGGGAAUUGCGAUGAAGACUGCAAGGCUUGAAUCUGGCAGAGGGGGGUAGAAUUCCACGUGUAGCAGUGAAAUGCGUAGAGAUGUGGAGGAACACCGAUGGCGAAGGCAGCCCCCUGGGUCAAGAUUGACGCUCAUGCACGAAAGCGUGGGGAGCAAACAGGAUUAGAUACCCGGGU
rnacentral:rRNA from 1 species